rnacentral:hammerhead_ribozyme from 1 species
AUCCAGAUGACGAGUCGCAAAUAAGGCAAAAUGCGCAUCCUGGAU